rnacentral:rRNA from 1 species
CCUACGGGAGGCAGCAGUGAGGAAUAUUGGUCAAUGGGCGGAAGCCUGAACCAGCCAAGUCGCGUGAGGGAAUAAGGCCCUACGGGUCGUAAACCUCUUUUGCCGGGGAGCAAGGGCCGGGACGCGUCCCGUCCCGGAUAGUCCCCGGAGACAAAGCAUCGGCUAACCCCGUGCCAGCAGCCGCGGUAAUACGGGGGAUGCGAGCGUUAUCCGGAUUUAUUGGGUUUAAAGGGUGCGUAGGCGGGCUUUUAAGUCAGCGGUAAAAAUUCGGGGCGCAACCCCGGCCGGCCGUUGAAACUGGGGGCCUUGAGUGGGCGAGAAGAAGGCGGAAUGCGUGGUGUAGCGGUGAAAUGCAUAGAUAUCACGCAGAACCCCGAUUGCGAAGGCAGCCUGCCGGCGCCCUACUGACGCUGAGGCACGAAAGUGCGGGGAUCGAACAGGAUUAGAUACCCCUGUAGUC